rnacentral:rRNA from 1 species
UUCCGGUUGAUCCUGCCGGACCCGACUGCUAUCAGAGUGGGACUAAGCCAUGCGAGUCGACGUAGCAAUGCGUGGCGAACGGCUCAGUAACACGUAGUCAACAUGCCCAGGGGACGUGGAUAACCUCGGGAAACUGAGAAUAAACCACGAUAGGUCACGAUUUCUGGAAUGGAUCAUGGCCUAAAUCUACAUGGCCCCUGGAUUGGACUGCGGCCGAUCAGGCUGUUGGUGAGGUAAUGGCCCACCAAACCUAUAACCGGUACGGGCUCUGAGAGGAGAAGCCCGGAGAUGGGCACUGAGACAAGGGCCCAGGCCCUAUGGGGCGCAGCAGGCGCGAAACCUCUGCAAUAGGCGAAAGCCUGACAGGGUUACUCUGAGUGAUUUCCGCUAAGGGGAUCUUUUGGCACCUCUAAAAAUGGUGCAGAAUAAGGGGUGGGCAAGCCUGGUGUCAGCCGCCGCGGUAAUACCAGCACCCCGAGUGGUCGGGACGAUUAUUGGGCCUAAAGCAUCCGUAGCCGGUUCUGCAAGUCUUCCGUUAAAUCCAGCCGCUCAACGGAUGGGCCGCGGAGGAUACUACAGGACUAGGAGGCGGGAGAGGCAAGCGGUACUCAGUGGGUAGGGGUAAAAUCCUUUGAUCCAUUGAAGACCACCAGUGGCGAAGGCGGCUUGCCAGAACGCGCUCGACGGUGAGGGAUGAAAGCUGGGGGAGCAAACCGGAUUAGAUACCCGGGUAGUCCCAG